rnacentral:miRNA from 1 species
UUCCUGGGCUUCUCCUCUGUAG